AAUGGGGGCAACCCUGAUCCAGCCAUGCCGCGUGAGUGAUGAAGGCCCUAGGGUUGUAAAGCUCUUUUGUGCGGGAAGAUAAUGACGGUACCUUAAUAAUAAGCCCCGGCUAACUUCGUGCCCGCAGGCGCGGUAAUACGAAGGGGGCUAGCG
rnacentral:rRNA from 1 species